AUUCGUGAGACUGAGCCCUGUGCCUGCCAUGGGCGAAUAGGGUUGUAUGGUGUAGCCUUUGUAAAGUAAACCCUUGUUGUCCAUUUGUUUUAGCAACCACCAGACUGUCUCAAUAUAUUUGGAAGUGUAGGUGACGUAAGGAUUUUCCAUGUCCACCCAAUAGCCCAUUUUUUGGGUGAGUUGGUUCCACAAAUCAGUGUAGCGCAUCACGGCCUUUUUACAAGCUUUGUUAUAGUCAGCCACACUGAUGGUUUUUCCAAUAUCUUCUUUGGUAAUACCCAAUUCUUUUUCUACACCCAAUUCUACGGGUAAACCGUGUGUAUCCCAACCCGCUUUGCGAUGGACCUGAAACCCCUUUUGGGUUUUGUAGCGGCAAAAAAUAUCUUUAAUACUUCGGGCCAUUACGUGGUGGAUGCCUUGGC
rnacentral:misc_RNA from 1 species